AACGAACGCUGGCGGCAGGCCUAACACAUGCAAGUCGAGCGCCCCGCAAGGGGAGCGGCGGACGGGUGAGUAACGCGUGGGAACGUACCCUUUGCUACGGAAUAGCCUCGGGAAACUGGGAGUAAUACCGUAUGUGUCCUUCGGGAGAAAGAUUUAUCGGCAAGGGAUCGGCCCGCGUUGGAUUAGGUAGUUGGUGGGGUAAUGGCCUACCAAGCCGACGAUCCAUAGCUGGGUUGAGAGGAUGAUCAGCCACACUGGGACUGAGACACGGCCCAGACUCCUACGGGAGGCAGCAGUGGGGAAUCUUAGACAAGGGGCGCAAGCCUGAUCAAGCCAUGCCGCGUGAGAGAUGAAGGCCUUAGGGUUGUAAAGCUCUUUCAGGGGGGAAGAUAAUGACUGUACCCCCAGAAGAAGCCCCGGCUAACUCCGUG
rnacentral:rRNA from 1 species